CCCCUUUACUAUUUUUCCAACAACUCCCGAUCAAAAAUCCCCAAACCCGUCUCUUCCCUUGCAAGAAGCCAGCAAAAAGGGUCGCCGCUUCCCUGCAACAGGUAUUGUCUCUCACAAGAACCAUAAAACUGGUUUCAAGCUCAAGAUCAUGACUCAAAGGGGCUUCCUAUUUGUUCUCCUACAACAGAGAGAGUCAGGGUAGUCAACAUUCAUGGAGAACAAGAAGAUGGUGAUGUUGCUGGUACUUCUACUACAAUUCAUCAGGGCAGUCAACGUGUACAAGGAAGACAGAUGAAUGAGCUAAGGAUACAAAUUGCAAAUCAAAUGGCAGUAGAUAAGGGUUACCCCCUGAUUUGAUUGUUUAUGUAAUAAAAUUUCAAGACACCCAUUUGUAGCUAUGAUUUUUA